CCUUCAGAAGUGAAGAUGUAUUUUAGUCUCUGACACACAUAUCUGUAAUUCAUCUAUCUAAGAGCUGACUGAAGCGAUAGUUCAUCCAAAUUACUAAAAUACAUUUUGGUUUCCUUACCCGGAGAGCAGUCUAUGGACGAGACAGAAAUCCAUAACUUGUGUGAACUAUCCCUUUAAUGUUAAAAAUGGUAAUGCAAUAUAUUGUAGAAUUACAACAUAUUGAGUAUAUUAGCAGUAUACUGUAGCAUUUAGUCCUACCUCAGAGGCAGUAAUACUACUUUAGUGUCCUUCAUUUUUACUUGCUCACAAUUUUUAUACUUGUAGUACCAAUCAAGAGCUUACCUUUGUCUCUCUUUCAAAGGUACAGUUUAACAGCACUGUAUUAUCACCUGAAACCUUGCAGUCAGAAACUUUGCCAUCUUACUACUGUAGUUAAUACAGUGUAAUAAAAAUGAUUAGUUAUAAGAUAUUGUAUGUGUUUUGACAGGGGAGUACAUCAUGUAAAUAAAACAAGGCUUU